rnacentral:rRNA from 1 species
CAGUCGCCACGGUAAUACGGAGGGAGCUAGCGUUGUUCGGAAUCACUGGGCGUAAAGCGCACGUAGGCGGCUAUUCAAGUCAGGGGUGAAAGCCCGGGGCUCAACCCCGGAACUGCCUUUGAAACUAGAUAGCUUGAAUCUUGGGGAGGCGAGUGGAAUUCCGAGUGUAGAGGUGAAAUUCGUAGAUAUUCGGAAGAACACCAGUGGCGAAGGCGACUCGCUGGACAAGUAUUGACGCUGAGGUGCGAAAGCGUGGGGAGCAAACAGGAUUAGAUACCCCCGUAGUCCCUGUCUCUUAUAC